ensembl:snRNA U6 U6 spliceosomal RNA
AUGCAUAGACGGCAGCACAUACACUAAAACUGGAACGAUAAAGAGAAGAUUAGCAUGGCCCUGCGGAAGUGCGACGCGCAAAAUCGGGAAUCGUGAUGUCUCGUU